UAGCUUGGCACCUGAAACCAGGGCACUAC
rnacentral:piRNA from 1 species